rnacentral:tRNA from 1 species
GCGGUUGUCGUCCAGUCCUUUAAUUAGGGGAAAACCUGGUCUAGGACACGGGGUUUCCAACCCCGGAACACGGGUUCAAAUCCCGUCGACCGCA